rnacentral:pre_miRNA from 15 species
UUUUGAAAAAGACCACCGUCCGCAGUUUGUUGUGAUGUGCUCCAAGCAAUCAUGAGUCUGAAGCACCACGAGAAGCUGCAGAUGGAGGUUCUGAUUU